rnacentral:lncRNA from 1 species
GGGGGACACACAGCUUCACUUAAACACUGGCUGAGGACUGAAGCAUCACUCUCAGUUAAAUCCCCAGGUCUGAAAUUAAGCCAGGCGUCAAAUAGCCUCUGGACUUUUUCUCCCUCCUCUCUGUGCAGGCAACCUGGUUUCCAAUCUUCUCCGGUCUCUGCAGGGGCCCCAACUCCCCAUGGAAGUCUGUGACAUCAUAUGCGCCAUCAUUCAUUUGUUCCCCAAAUAUGGCAGGGACCUUUCCCUGAGUGAUAGACAAAGGAGAAAAAGAACACACCAACGCCCUGUCUUCAAGGGGCUUCCAUUCUCGUGGGACUUGGGUACUAAGUAUAGCCAGCCUAUCUAAUUCCCUUCCUUCCUUUAAGACUCCGCCCAGGGUUCCAUCUCCUCAGAGAGGCCUUCUCUAACCACGUAGGCCUCAGGGACCACCUGCUUCCUCUGAACUUUGCCUCUCUGCAAGUAUCCAUAUCCUGUCUCACUCGGUCUUGUCUCAUCAAGACCUGAGCAGAAUGGAAAAGCACCUAUUGAGCAGGGUCUGGAUUUCAUUCUUCUUCAUCCCCUACAGGCCACAGGUUACACGCCUGCUGGCUGUUCACAGUCAUAGUGCCUCUUCCAUUUGGGCUUGGAAUUAUCUGCUCUCAGUCCUGGCUGUCCAGCACACAAAUACACUUCACCUCUGUCUCACACACAGCUGUGACUUCUCCCCUGUGCCGUCAGUAGCCCUGUCUUUAACUGGCUCAGCACCGUGGAAGGGCCACUCUGGAAUCAGAGGCAAAUGACAUAUCAUGGUCACUUCAGAUUUUUACAACAAAUUGAGGCAUAAGGUUUCAUGACUCAACUGAUACAGUCAAAUAGCAGUUAAGAUUCUUCUCAUUUCACAAGAGAGGGAGAUCUGCAGAAAAAGCCCCAGCUGUUCAAGGUCAUAUAUUUAUGUCAGAAUCAGGACAUACUGUUCCUCUUUCCCAGUCCUUGAUAUUUUUUUUCCGGUAAGCUGGCUACCAUCAGGUAUAGGUGUUGACGGCUCAGCUUUAUGACCAGGCCCCACUACUGUGACCGGCUCAGCACCAAAGCUUUGAGCCAGGAAGCCAGCUCCUGGGUCUAUCAAAACAGAGGC